rnacentral:piRNA from 1 species
AUGCCUUGGCAGGGUGCCUCAUUCCCUCCU